rnacentral:rRNA from 1 species
GUGCCAGCCGCAGCGGUAAUACGAAGGGGGCUAGCGUUGUUCGGAUUUACUGGGCGUAAAGCGCACGUAGGCGGGCUAAUAAGUCAGGGGUGAAAUCCCGGGGCUCAACCCCGGAACUGCCUUUGAUACUGUUAGUCUUGAGUAUGGUAGAGGUGAGUGGAAUUCCGAGUGUAGAGGUGAAAUUCGUAGAUAUUCGGAGGAACACCAGUGGCGAAGGCGGCUCACUGGACCAUUACUGACGCUGAGGUGCGAAAGCGUGGGAGCAAACAGGAUUAGAUACCCUGGUAGUCCACGCCGUAAACGAUGAAUGUU